rnacentral:rRNA from 1 species
UGCGUAGGCGGCUAAGCAAGUCAGAUGUGAAAUACACGGGCUCAACCCGUGAGCUGCAUUUGAAACUGUUUAGCUUGAGUGAAGUAGAGGCAGGCGGAAUUCCCGGUGUAGCGGUGAAAUGCGUAGAGAUCGGGAGGAACACCAGUGGCGAAGGCGGCCUGCUGGGCUUUAACUGACGCUGAGGCACGAAAGCUGGGUAGCAAACA